rfam:Hepatospora eriocheir strain GB1 NODE_266, whole genome shotgun sequence.
UUCCCAUUAUUCCAGUGGUUAGGAUAUCGGCUUUUCACGCCGGAGACCGGAGUUCGAUUCUCCGAUGGGAAG